ACUGAAGCCUGGACUUCUGCAAAACACAGGAUGCUUGCUUUUAGAUUACUGAAUUCAGCCUCACACAGGAGAUCACCACAGGUGGAGCUGAUUACCUAUUACCUCUCAGGCAGAGAACUCAGGAAAACUGACAAGCUGUUUAACUCCGUGAGUGAAAAGACACAGGAUCCAGGAGAGAUGGCAGGGGGGUUCAGUAUGAUUGACCGCCAGACGGGAUGCCGGCAGUCACGAUACCAACGUUGGAAUCCCGAUGUGUGAAAUCCUGACAGGGGCAAGGUAUUUUAUGUCAGCAAGGAUGGCAAGUCUCAAGUUGCUGGGGAGGACAAGAAAGGCUCAUAAAGAUGACAUGUUUGCUCUCCAGUUCCCUGAUGGGGCUUCUAUGUAUUACCUGGAUCUAAUUAUCUCAUCUCCAGUUGACAGAGAGGUUUCCAUAGAGCGCUUUCCAUCACCGGGAACCUUACCCAGGCUUGCAAUGUUUUAAAUUGUUUAAAAACACCAGGGAGAUUACACUGUGCAACCUAUAUCCUGGGCUGUCUAAUGACUUGAUAUAUUUUUGGACCUUCUGCUCAUUGGAUGAACAAGCCAGAGCAAAUCAUGUAUUGACCUCAAAGCAUUUAUAAACUGUGGAACAUUAUAUUCUCAUCAGAGCCAUAGGGCCAGAAAACUAUAGCUUCUCAGCAGUGAAACAUGGUUUUGGUUAUGCACUGUGUUCCUAGGGAUGCACCAAAACAAUAAUAUAUCAUUCGAGGCACACGUCGCCUUCUUUAUUGAAAGGCAAAACAAAGAGUUGAGGACAAAAAUCAUUACUUCUUUAGCAAUUUUUCACAAAAUGCUUUUGUUUUAUACUUGACACACAGAAGGGACUAUACGCUGCAGUGAAAAUGAUGUAUAGCUUUGUGACAAAUGUAAUUUUCUUUAUAAAGCAGCGGCCAUAAGGAUAUACACAGUUCAAGAAGUUAUUUUGCUUUUUGCAUUCAUUUUUAAAAAUGGGUUUAAUCUCCUUAUUUGCAACAGAAGGUUUGCAUGCAUGUCUACCUUGUAAACUUUGAUUCCAAAGGCCUCAUUCACAUUUUAACAACUUUAUUUUUUCACUACAGACUUUUUUUGUUGUUGUUUCUGUUGUUGUUGUUGCCUAGGGCCAACACAGCCUUCUGUCCCAAAGAACCAUGCAAAGGCAUUAAAGGUGAUUGCUUAAGUAAUAUAAGCAAUAUAUAAAAUAUAUGUCAAGACCAGAAGAUAACAUUUUCGUAACUGAUAUUUGCUAUAAUUGGUCUCUGAUGGAAAGGAAUUAAUUUGUUGUCGUCUUCCAUAUCUGUGCGCAGCUGGCAAAAGAAACAUAGAACAUUAAACUGGCACUGAUCUCUUGACAAGCUAUAGUCAUAUAUUUUAUUGUUUUACAGCAGUGAAACUGUUAAAUGAUAAAUCGUAAUUAAAAAUGUAAACAAUAUCAAAAUCAUGAUGCUUUUUCACGGAAAAUAUUGACCAAUGAGUAAUCCAAUGAAAACUGCAAUAUGUACAUUUUCACACUAAGGUUUGUUUAUUGUUUUAAUCAAAGUGAUACACGUAGUAUAUAUUUUUGGAAAAUGUGACUAGGGCAUUGUUUUUUGUGAAAUUAUUAAUUUGAAGAGGUGGGACCCUUGAGUGAAUAUUCUUGGGGUUAUUUACACACCCAAUCUGCACUGUAAAAUUCCUCUGCAUACUACUUCAGCCAUACAGCUUAGUGUGUGAAAAGGCAGC